AUACGUAAGGGGCGAGCGUUGUCGGGAUUCACUGGGCGUAAAGGGCGCGUAGGCGGCGAUACAAGUCAGAGGAGAAAGCUAUGGGCUCAACCCAUAAACGGCCUUUGAAACUGUAUUGCUUGAGUAUUGCAGAGGAAAGUGGAAUUCAUGGUGUAGCGGUGAAAUGCGUAGAUAUCAUGGAGAACACCUAUGGCGAAGGCAGCUUUCUGGGCAAAUACUGACGCUGAGGCGCGAAAGCUAGGGUAGCGAACAGGAUUAGAAACCCGCGUAGUCC
rnacentral:rRNA from 1 species